rnacentral:rRNA from 1 species
UACGAAGGGGGCUAGCGUUGCUCGGAAUCACUGGGCGUAAAAGGUGCGGAGGCGGGUCUUUAAGUCAGGGGUGAAAUCCUGGAGCUCAACUCCAGAACUGCCUUUGAUACUGAAGAUCUUGAGUUCGGGAGAGGUGAGUGGAACUGCGAGUGUAGAGGUGAAAUUCGUAGAUAUUCGCAAGAACACCAGUGGCGAAGGCGGCUCACUGGCCCGAUACUGACGCUGAGGCACGAAAGCGUGGGGAGCAAACAGG